AUUGAACGCUGGCGGCAUGCUUUACACAUGCAAGUCGAACGGCAGCACGGACUUCGGUCUGGUGGCGAGUGGCGAACGGGUGAGUAAUACAUCGGAACGUACCGCGUAGUGGGGGACAACAAGUCGAAAGAUUUGCUAAUACCGCAUACACUCUGAGGAGAAAAGCAGGGGACCUUCGGGCCUUGUGCUAUGCGAGCGGCCGAUGGCUGAUUAGCUAGUUGGUGGGGUAAAGGCCUACCAAGGCAACGAUCAGUAGCGGGUCUUAGAGGACGAUCCGCCACACUGGAACUGAGACACGGCCCAGACUCCUGCGGGAGGCAGCAGUGGGGAAUUUUGGACAAUGGGGGCAACCCUGAUCCAGCCAUUCCGCGUGAGUGAAGAAGGCCUUCGGGUUGUAAAGCUCUUUCGGCAGGAACGAAACGGCGAGCUCUAACAUAGCUUGCUAAUGACGGUACCUGAAGAAGAAGCACCGGCUAACUACGUGCCAGCCGCCGCCGUAAGAC
rnacentral:rRNA from 1 species